GAUGAAGAACGUAGUGAAAUGCGAUACUUGGUGUGAAUUGCAGAAUCCCGUGAACCAUCGAGUCUUUGAACGCAAGUUGCGCCCGAAGCCAUCCGGCCGAGGGCACGUCUGCCUGGGCGUCACACACCGUUGCCCCCCCAAACCCCGUCGGGGAAAAAGGGGGGCGGAUGUUGGCCUCCCGUGAGCCUCGCCUCGCGGCUGGCCCAAAUGCGAGAUCUCUGCUGCGAGCGUCGCGGCAAUGGUGGUUGUCGAAUAACUCGGUACCCCGUCGCGAACGCCCCCAGCGUGCUGUCUCGGAACGACCCCUGCGCGCGGCCUCGCGCCGCGCUUCCAACGCGACCCCAGGUCAGGCGGGGCUACCCGCUGAAUUUAAGCAUAUCAAUAAGCGGAGGA
rnacentral:misc_RNA from 1 species